UACAGAGGUCUCGAGCGUUGUUCGGAUUCAUUGGGCGUAAGGGUGCGUAGGUGGCGUGGUAAGUCUGGUGUGAAAUCCCGGGGCUCAACCCCGGAACUGCACUGGAUACUGCCAUGCUUGAGUACUGGAGAGGAGAUUGGAAUUUACGGUGUAGCAGUGAAAUGCGUAGAUAUCGUAAGGAAGACCAGUGGCGAAGGCGAAUCUCUGGACAGUUACUGACACUGAGGCACGAAGGCCAGGGGAGCAAACGGG
rnacentral:rRNA from 1 species